UGCUUUCGAUAGGCGUCGACCGGCGCACGGGUGAGUAACGCGUAUCCAACCUGCCCAUAACUAAGGGAUAAUCCGUAGAAAUGCGGUCUAAUACCUUAUGUGUUCCGACGAGGACAUCUGAAUUGGAAUAAAGAUUUAUCGGUUAUGGAUGGGGAUGCGUCUGAUUAGAUUGUUGGCGGGGCAACGGCCCACCAAGUCUGCGAUCAGUAGGGGUUCUGAGAGGAAGGUCCCCCACAUUGGAACUGGGACACGGUCCAAACUCCUACGGGAGGCAGCAGUGAGGAAUAUUGGUCAAUGGGCGGGAGCCUGAACCAGCCAAGUAGCGUGCAGGACGACGGCCCUAUGGGUUGUAAACUGCUUUUGCAGGGGGAUAAAGUGAGUCACGUGUGACUUAUUGCAGGUACCCUGCGAAUAAGGACCGGCUAAUUCCGUGCCAGCAGCCGCGGUAAUACGGAAGGUCCGGGCGUUAUCCGGAUUUAUUGGGUUUAAAGGGAGCGUAGGCCGUGGAUUAAGUGUGUUGUGAAAUGUAGGCGCUCAACGUCUGACUUGCAGCGCAUACUGGUCCACUUGAGUGCGCACAACGCGGGCGGAAUUUGUCGUGUAGCGGUGAAAUGCUUAGAUAUGACGAAGAACCCCGAUUGCGAAGGCAGCUCGCGGGAGCGCAACUGACGCUGAAGCUCGAAAGUGCGGGUAUCGAACAGGAUUAGAUACCCUGGUAGUCCGCACGGUAAACGAUGGAUGCCCGCUUUUCGGUCAUUAGACCGUGAGGCCAAGUGAAAACAUUAAGCAUCCCACCUGGG
rnacentral:rRNA from 1 species